GGGAAACCGACAUGGCCGCAGUCUUACGACGAGGGCCGCCGUGUUCAAGCGCGGGGAGUCAAACGGGCACGACCCGAAACUGGAUGAUCUAGACGUGGGCAAGGUGAAGCGUGCCGAAAGGCACGUGGAGGCCUGUUAGUGUUGGUGUCCUACAAUACCCUCACGUGACCUACGUCUAGGGGUGAAAGGCCCAUCGAAUCCAGAAACAGCUGGUUCCAACCGAAAGAUGUCGAAGCAUCACCUCUGCCGAGAUAGUUCAUGGGGUAGAGCGACGGAUUGGGGGACCGCACUCCGAGAGGAGUGCGCCCCCCUGUCCAACUCCGAACCUAUGAACGUCGUUCGACGCAGGGAGUCCGGUGCACGGGGUAAGCCUGUGUACCGUAAGGGAGACAACCCAGAGCUGGGUUAAGGUCCCAAAGUGUGGAUUAAGUGCGAUCGAAGGUGGUCUCAAGCCCUAGACAGCCGGGAGGUGAGCUUAGAAGCAGCUACCCUCUAAGAAAAGCGUAACAGCUUACCGGCCGAGGUUUGAGGCGCCCAAAAUGAUCGGGGCUCAAAUCCACCACCGAGACCUAGUCGUGCCCCUCACAGGGCAAUCGCGUAGGUUGGCGUUCUGUUCGGGUGGAAGCACGGUCGAGAGAUCGUGUGGACCGUUCAGUAACGAAAAUCCUGGUCAUAGUAGCAGCGUUAGUCGGGUUAGACCCCCGACGGCCGAACGAGUAAGGGUUCCUCAGCAAUGCUAAUCAGCUGAGGGUUAGCCGGUCCUAAGUCAGCCCGUAAGUCGAAGCUGACAACAGGGAAAUAGGUUAAUAUUCCUAUGCCGGUAUGCAAUUAAAGUUGACGCUUUGGGGCCACCCAGGCCGGGCCUUCGCCCGGUUGAACAGUCGAAGAGCGUGGAAGCCGUAAUGGCACGAAGCGAUCGAAUGGCUGGAUAACGUAAGCUGGGUCAACCCAGAGCCCGUGAAAAGACGAGCAUACUGUCCGUACCGAGAUCCGACACAGGUACUCAUGGCGGCGAAAGCCAAGGUCUGUCGGGAGCAACCGACGUUAGGGAAUUCGGCAAGUUAGUCCCGUACGUUCGCAAUAAGGGAUGCCUGCCUCGGAAAGAGGCAGGUCGCAGUGACUCGGGCGCUCCGACUGUCUAGUAACAACAUAGGUGACCGCAAAUCCGCAAGGACUCGUACGGUCACUGAAUCCUGCCCAGUGCGGGUAUCUGAACACCCCUUACAAGGGGACGAAGGACCCGUUAACGGCGGGGGUAACUAUGACCCUCUUAAGGUAGCGUAGUACCUUGCCGCUUCAGUAGCGGCUUGCAUGAAUGGAUCAACGAGAGCGCCACUGUCCCAACGUUGGGCCCGGUGAACUGUACGUUCCAGUGCGGAGUCUGGAGACCCCCAAGGGGAAGCGAAGACCCUAUAGAGCUUUACUGCAGGCUGUCACUGAGACGUGGUCGCCAUUGUGCAGCAUAGGUAGGAGCCGUUACACAGGUACCCGCGCUAGCGGGCCACCGAGGCAGCAUUGAAAUACUACCCGAUGGUGACUGCGACUCUCACUCCUGGCGGAGGACACUGGUAGCCGGGCAGUUUGACUGGGGCGGUACGCGCCUGAAAAGAUAUCGGGCGCGCCCCAAGAUUUCCUCACCCGCGUCGGAGACGCGGGAAAGAGCGCAAGAGCAUACGGAAGUCUGACAGUGUCCGGCACAACGACGGACGCUGACGCGAAAGCGUGGUCUAGCGAACCAAUUAGGCUGCUUGAUGCGGCCAAUUGCUGACAAAAAAGCUACCUUAGGGAUAACAGAGUCGUCACCCGCAAGAGCACAUAUCGACCGGGUGGCUUGCUACCUCGAUGUCGGUUCCCUCCAUCCUGCCCGUGCAGAAGCGGGCAAGGGUGAGGUUGUUCGCCUAUUAAAGGAGGUCGUGAGCUGGGUUUAGACCGUCGUGAGACAGGUCGGCUGCUAUCUAUUGGGGGUGUUAUGGUUCCUGACGGGAACGUUCGUAUAGUACGAGAGGAACUACGAAUGGGUGCCACUGGUGUACCGGCUGUUCGAAAGAGCACGUGCCGGGCAGCCACGCACCACGGGGUAAGAGCUGAACGCAUCUAAGCUCGAAACCCACCUGGAAAAGAGGAGCCACUGAGGCCACUCGU
rnacentral:rRNA from 1 species